rnacentral:lncRNA from 1 species
AUUUCCAUGCGUCCUGAGCUACUCCACAGGGACACUGUCUUGUUGGUGUUGUAGCCAGAAGGACAGGGAGCAACUGGGUCUUGAAGGGAGCAGUACAGCACUGUAUCUGGCAUACCUAUAAACUUCGCCGCUCCCUCCUUGUACUCCGCCAGGACGUCGUGCAGCUCCGCCAUGGUGGGCAGCGUAAGCUGUGCCACGGGAGGCACGCCGCUGACCUCGCGCAGCGUGUCGAGGGUGAGGUGCGGCGCCGUGCCGGUCCGCGUGUACAGCAGGCAGCCGGGCAGCGCCAGGGCGGCCGCCCCGCUCCGGCCCAGCCCCGCCAGCGUGCCCAGCCGCCCGCCCGCCACCCCGCACAGCUUCACCCGCAUGCCGAGAGCCGCGGCC